UACGGGGGGAGCAAGCGUUGUUCGGAUUUACUGGGCGUAAAGGCGCGUAGGCGGCCAGCACAAGUCAGUUGUGAAAUCUCCGGGCUUAACUCGGAAAGGUCAACUGAUACUGUGCGGCUAGAGUGCAGAAGGGGCAACUGGAAUUCCUGGUGUAGCGGUGAAAUGCGCAGAUAUCAGGAGGAACACCGGUGGCGAAGGCGGGUCUCUGGGCCGAUACUGACGCUGAGGAGCGAAAGCGUGGGGAGCGAACAGG
rnacentral:rRNA from 1 species